UGGACUCUUCCAUUCUCUCUUCUUUCCCCUUUUCCUAUUAAAAAAAGUCAUAUACUAUACUACCCUAUAAACAAUACCUACAACAUCCCCUCAUUAGUUAUUCCCUGUUCAUUUCAUUUCCUACACUUAAAAAUUCUCUAGAUAAAACCAGUUCUUUUCAUCAAAUAAUCAAGGAUUUCAAGAAGCCAUGAAAGAUAGAGGCAAAGCUGCAGCUGUAGACAACAACUUCUCAGAUUUCAAUUACUCUAUUUCAUCAACUAUACCAUGUACCAAACACCCAAAUACAUCUACUGUUGGAAUCUGCAGUUACUGUUUAAAAGACAGAUUGGUCAAUUUAGUAUGUUCUGAGUGUGGUGAGCAAAGACUCUCUUCUUGUUCUUGCUCUGAUGAUAUCUCUUCUUAUAGAAAUUCUUGUUCUGUUGAGGUUGGCAGUGUUGGUAGAAUUUCAUUUUUAUUAGAAAAUGAGAAAAAUACUGAUCAAAGUGUACCAAUUCAGCAGUCACAGUCAGAACAAGUGAUCUUGCUAAGAAGUAGCAGCAACUGCGUAGAAAUCAAGAAAAGUAAAAAUGGUUUUUGGAAGAUUAAGAGACUUUUUAGAAAGAAAAGAGAAAAGGGUACAAUUGGGGUUGAUGAAAAAAGUGAUAUUUGUGUAUCUGAUGCAGUUAUGGGAGUUUCAAGAUCAAGAUCAUUAUGUAGUUUUAGAGGUGAUGAUUUUGGCAGUGAAUAUAGAUUUUCAAGUGCAAAAAUUUCUGAUGUUACAGGGGGUUUGUUAUUUGAUUCUGAUCAUGAGCCAAGAAAGAGUGGUAGUAAUUUCAAGAAUUUUAGUGUUCCAAAUAAGGGAAAUAAUACAUUUCCUGUUAAGGAAAGUGAUUUUAGUACUAUAAUGGAUGAUUCAGCAUUUAUAGAUUUGAAGCUUGAUUUAUCAUCAGAGACAAGAUCAGAUUUUUAUGGUAAAAGACUUGGUAAUAGUUCAGAUAAUGGAUAUGAUUCUGCAGCUUCAAUUGGGAAUUUAAGAGGUGGAUCUUGUAGAAUGAAUGAAUAUGACAGAAAGAUCAAAAGAGGUAGUAGUAGUAGUAGUCAUGGCAAAGGAAACAAAGUGUGGAAAUGGAUUUUCAGGCAAACAACUUCAGAUGGGAGGAAAAGUACAAGAAAAAGAGAUGAUGCAAUUAAUAGUAAUUUGAUUUUUAAGUCUUAAGAGUUCUUGAAAUAAGACAGAUUUGUACUAUUCUCUUUGGUUAUGCUUUUUGUUCAUAGCACUAUCUCUCACUUAGAAGGGAGCCUUUGAACAAUGGUAACGGCGAGAUUACGAUAUAAAAUUUAAUAUGAUCCGAGCUUUCCUCAAAUUAUGUGCAGCUUGGAGCUUGGAGCUUGGAGCUUGGAGCUUAGUGCACCGAGCUACUUUUAGCGCUAGCUCAUGUUUAAAUGAUAAUUUUGCAUAGGAAGCAAUACUUCUUAGUAGCAAGAAAAGUAAAUACUACAAAACUUUACCUAUUUCUCUGCUUUUAUUUGCUGAAGCAAUACUAUCUUAGUAGUAAGAAAAGUAAAUACUACAAAACUUUACCUAUUUCUCUGCUUUUAUUUGCUUUUCUUUUUUCUUUUUCUCUAAGGUUGAUUCUCUUCUAUAUGCUUUAUUUUUUUCUUGUGGAGUAAAAAAAUACACACACAAAUAGCUGUUCUCUUUGGCUUUUCCCCCCUUUUCUUAAUUAUAUUUG
rnacentral:lncRNA from 1 species